ensembl:lncRNA
GGAAAGUCAGCCUGUGUACCGGAAAGUCUCAGCAGAGGGUAGGCUCUGGAAAGAGCUAUUUAACCUGACGUAUGUCACCAAGUGACUCAGCCUCUCCUGAGUUCUGACUAGGCUGCAAAGACAGAUGUCUGGGGCUCUUUGGGUUCAUGGAUUAUUGACAAGUAACCCUCUUCCCCAUUUCCUUGGGGUGCUGAGUCCUGUGUUGAGCUAGCACUUUGGCCAAAGGAAGUUUGCAAGAGACUGGUAUUUCAUCAGCUCCUCGAGCAGAAUGACUCACCUGUUACUAAAUGGACACUCACAAAGCCAGGAAAGCUCCAGGAAGUCUGGGAUCUGCAGUUCAAGGCCACCACAUCACCGGCCCCCCGUGGGAGUGAGUGGGACCCAGGAGAUGGGUCUGAAGGAGGAAGAAGGGCAGCUGGAAGAGACAGAGCCCCUUUCCAACAGGGCCAGAGGGAGGUCACCUUGGAGACCCCUGGAUGGUACCAUUUGCCUUCUCACUUUUGAAAUGUGGAGCUCCAAGAACCAAAAAUGAGCAACUCUUUCUAGCAACACUGUAAUCUUCCAAGAUGCAUUUAUGGAAAAUUCUCCAUGAGGUGAGCAGGCCUCCUCCACCGAGUGCUCCUGCUAUGCUGUACUCUGCUGCCACAGGCGAAGCAAAAGGACCAAGUAUGCAUGGACUGAAACUAGGAGUUAAGAUGAGUCUUCCCUCCUGUUAAAUCGAUUAUCUCAGCCUUUCAGGCAUGAAAUGGAAUGAAGAAAGUUGGCCUAUGACUUUGAAGAGCUCCAGUCUGCUUGAGUGAGUGCAUCUCUGACUCCUGUGACAUCAGUCUUCAGCUUCUUCAGCCUUCUCCAGCACACUCAUACUAGCAACAUUCCAGUGAGGCUCCUGGCCUUCAAUCUUGGACUGGUGUUGCAUCUUUGAUCCCUUUUGUUGUGUGGCUUCCAUCUUGAUUUGAGCAGCUUCUGGAUCCUCCAUCUCUCCAGCAUGUAGAUAGCCAUUGGGGACUCUCCUGCCACUGAUCCUAUAAGCCUACCUGAUAAUACCCUUUGUAUAAUUGCACAUAUAUUUUCUAUUUAUUUUCUUCCUCUAGAGAACCCCUCUCAAUACAGAUGCCAAAAUAAGCAUUAUACAUUAGUAAUUUAAAUAAUAUUCCAGAAGAGACUAGGUAUAUUGAAAAAGGGAGCAGUAGAACACGGUAGUAGGGGAGAAAAAAAGACAGAGGAUCAUCUGGCAAAGCCUAAUUGAAAUGGGAUAGCUUAAGCAAAGAAGCAAGGGAAUGAGCUCAGCAUAUAUCCAGAAGAGAGGUAUUCAGGAAGAGGUAAGAGCUACAGCCAACGUGUAACUGAGAAUAACAAGGGACCAUUAGGGUGGGCCAAGGGGAAGGGAGAGAGCUCUAGUGGGAGCCAAUUCAAGUAGGGCUUAGUGGCCAAAUAUGGACUUUGACUUCUCACUGGAAGCUAGGGAGGCAUUGGAAUGCAUUGGGCAGAAGAGUGACAUGAUUUAACUUAAGUCUUGAAAGGGUCGUGAGUUUUGCAUAAACUUUUGGUGGCCUAUCUAGGACCCAUGAAGAAUCUAUAAUCCUGUCCAGUAACAGGAGAGGUAGUGAGCAGUGAUUAGAUCCUAGGUAGCCAAGAGCUUUUUUGACAUUAGAUAUAUGAUGUGAUAUGUUUUAUUUAUAAAAUCAACUUAUAGUUUGAUGAAAAUUUUCCAACUCAAACUAUUGAAGGACUUGGGAGAAUUAAGCUAGAAUUUUCAGCUUUCUGAUGAAAGGGUCUCAUUGUAGCCAAUGGAAUUUUACAUUUCAUUCAUUUACACAUUGACAUUCACUCAUGGUUGUGAGUGGCACAGACUUCCUAAUAUGCAAUCUAAAAUCAGAGCUGAAGACUUCAACCAAACACACUGACCUUCUGUCUCCAUUGAACUGGAGCCCAUUCUUAGCAGUUUUUGGACCCAGUUCAGCCCUGAAUUGUCACGUCCAAAUUAAACACAGGCAAGAGUUUCCAUUUGUACAUAUUAUUCAGGUAUAGCAAUGAUUAGGAAGAAUACCGACCUAGAGAUAAUUUUGAAGUAUGUUAUUUUUUCUGCUAACAAGGGUAUAUGCUUACUAACAAAGAGACUUGGUUGUUACAGAAAUAUAUGGAGAUGGCCCACAAUUUGCAGUAAUUUGACCUGUGACUUUUUGACUGAGUAGUGGGGCAAAAGCUAAAGGCAUUUAGUGGAAAUUGAGCCUUGAAUUUGAAUUUCAAUCUUUUUUCUGACUAGCAAUACUCUUUCACCAUACUGGGUAGCGUCUUUGGGCACAGAGCUGAGCCUACAGUAGACUGUUUCUAGGCCAUGGUGUUCGGUAGGUUAGGAGCACUCAGUACUUUUCAACUUAGAUAUGUUCGACUCCUGAUGGGUGUAUCAGGAUGUUACCCUGCCACAGUUUGAGGAGCCUCUGAAAUGUGGAACUGACUCCUCUCCUGUCAUCUUGCCCAGUAGUUUGUGGAAGAGGCCUUGAGGCUGUGGAGAGAAAUCCACCUUACUGGAAUGUUCCUACCUGCAGAUGUUUCAGAAACUCUGCUGAGGUUUAAUCAUGGGGCCACUGGGAUGCUCCAGCCCCAUUCAGACUGAUUCAUUUGGGCUUUAGCCCAGCUGCCAUUCUGCAGCUCAACCACUGCCAGGCAAGCCAGGCAAGCCAGACUCAGCAAGGUUUCUCGCUUUGGACAGGGAGGAGCUCAGCAAGGCUCACUGUGAUUGAUUGCUGCUGCCUCUUCUUAGGCCCACAGCCUCUCCACCCUGACCUGGAGGAUUUGAUGACCUUCAGAAUUCAGAGCAUAUUGAUCUACUUCAUAGGCAACAAAUGCUGAAGCCCUGUCUGCUAAUGUGACUUCAGAAGGUUGAAUAUGGAUUUGGAAAGAAUUACCAGCUGCUCACAAAUGUUUUAUAAAUGAUCUGAAACGCAGACACAGAGAAGAAAGACGCUCAGGGUGGAGAAGAAGAAAACUCCCACCCCACAAGCCCGCUGUAAAGAUAAUGCCUAAUUUAUCCAGGAAUAAUCCCUUCAUAUUCUUUAUUGUCAAAUGUGCCAUCACCGUGUAAUUUCAUAUCUGUCACUGUGAGAAAAAGACAGCCAUGUUGUUAUCAUUCCAGCCCUGCAGACAGGAUCUGCUGGAUCAAAUGGCACUUCUGAGCUCCCCUCCAGAUGGUGACUGUUAUGCUCACCUCUUGAUCUCUUCUGCCACCCACUCUUGGUCCCUGUGGCCGGGACAUCCUGAGUCCAUAAUGACCCCGUGCUGAGCUGUGAAGGACACAACCUGUACCUCUUCAGAAUGUCCACUCACCCUACAGUCAUCCACCAAGGGAGAGAUGCCUUCCAGAUAAGCCAGCCACUUCCCGGCUCCAGCCCUGGGCUGGGCUAAUCUUUCCUUGAUCUUCCGUCACGGUUAUUCACUGUCCUGUGCUCCUGACUCGUACAUCUGCAAAUGAGCAAACAAUGUUCUGGUUGGCUGCACAGAGAUGGAAGAAUACAGUGGACCCUUGAGUUACGACCGGCCUGCCGUAAGACCAGCUUGGGUUGCGACUGGAACUUUAGUUUUAACUUACGACCAAAGUCUUGAGUUACGUCCUGAAUGCUGGCUGCUUGUGCUUCUAGAUGGUCUCAGAUG